AUAUCAGCUUACUACAUCUGUCUUCCCUCACCAAACCCAUCAAUGAUUUGAUUUAUUUGACUAUAAUAUAUCAGUUAUGGCCAACAGAGGGCAACAUUUAUCCAUAUAAUACGAUAAAACCUCACUGAACCUAAAUUAAUUGGGUUACAUUGUAAAAAAAAUUCAGAUAUCGUAUGUGAUCAGAAACAAUGCAUUAAUUUCCCGGAGUGGUCGCUCUGUGCUUUUGUAGUUGACGUCAUAAUGUACGAUGGAAUAUAGAAGCCUAUGACGUAAACGAACUCAAGAAAAUGUUUAGUGCGCUGCUUUUGCCUCAGUUGAGUUGAUGCUUUGCAAAGGACAGUCAUCCUCAUGUUCAAAUAAAUCACUUUGAGUGGACAAAGAAGACAUUCUGUUCAGGUCCAAUCUGAAGGGUGCCUGAAAGCACAAUGGAUAGAAAUCAUAAACCGUUGAGAAACAUUCUUCUAAAAGUAAGACUCAUAAGUGAUGAAAAAAUGUUUGUUCAUUCUGGGGCUAUCCCUCUUGAUAUGUAAUGAGGCUAUCUUCUUGGUAGUAUAACCUAUAUGCUGUAAAAAACAGAUUGAUAUGAUUUAUAGUUGGAAAAGUGGGCAUAAUUAAAUGAGGGCUAAGGUUAAAUGUAUUUCCUUAUGUUCAUAUACCCCAGGCUGGGACCCUCCAAGCUAGUGCUGGAGAGCAGGUCCUCCAGACAGACAUCACUGACCAUGAUGGACUAAGGCUGCCAGCCCUGGUAGACUGCCCCAUUGACAGCCCCCUAAAGGCUAGGACCCUCCAAGCUAGUGCUGGAGAGCAAGUGCUCCAGACAGAUGUCCAUUCCGCUGGCCAUGAUGGACUAAGCCUGCCAGCCCUGGUAGACUGCCUCCAGGAUAGCCCUCGAAUGGCAGAUGUCCAUUCCGCUGGCCAUGAUGGACUAAGCCUGCCAGCCCUGGUAGACUGCCUCCAGGA